CUUAGUUUUGCCUCUUUCUGAGGUGAUGGUAUCCUUGUUUCUGUUCCUUUAUUCUUUAGUCUCAACACACCUACCAGGAUGAGCUUAUCCACAUCCAUGGUGCCAACUGCCUAUCCUGCUCUCCCCAAAGGUAAAUGAGUAUGUAGAUAAAUGUGUGUGUGCACGCACACCCCCCAAUCUCAAACCCAGAUUUCUAUCUCGAACUCCUAGCCCAUAUAUUCAACUCCUAUUAUACAUUUUCUUUUUGGAUAUUCCAUAGGAAUCUUAAACUCAACAUGUUCUAAACCUGGUUCUCAUCUCCUUCCUAACACUAGCCCCCCCUUACUGAAUGGUCUUCUAGUAGUUCCUGUGUUGGUGGAGGGAACCAACAGGGUUGCCCAACACACAAACCUGAAUUAUUGUUGACUUCUCUCCCUGGCAUGUCUCUUCCUCCAUCCAAUAAAUGACUGAGUCCUGCUGAUUUUGAUGUUCUUAAUAUCUCCCCAAGUUUCAUCUGUCUCUUUGCAGGUCCAGUUAUUCUCUCAUUUCAGGCCCUGUAGUCUCCUGCCUUGAAUGGUGCAUGAGUUGUCUGCAUAUGGCCUUGUUCCCCCUACACUACUUUCUCCCUGUCACUCGUGGUAUUAAACACAUGCUUUUCCUUGCUUAAAACUCCUAGGUGCCUUUGGAGAAAAGAACACACUCCUUGUCAUAGUACAAAAGGUUACUUAAUCCUCAUCUGCUCCAUUUCCUCAUCUGUAAUAUGGGAAUAAGUGGACCUACUUAGUAAGAUGCUGUGAUAAAUGGAUGAGAACACUGGUCAAGCUCCUUACUGCAGUUUCCAGAAGGCAGUUUGGACAUUGUUACAUUGACACUGCUGAGCAGCAACAAUGGAGGAGAGAGUUAGGAAGCUACUACAGAAUCCAGGGACGAGAGAAAUGGUUGCUUAGACCUGGAUGACAGUGAAAGAGGGAAGAAGUGAUGGAUUCUGGAUGGUAUAGAAUUUGCUGAGCAAUUGGAUGUAGGUAUGAGAGACAAGAGGAGCCAGCAUAACUCCAAAGAUUCAGCAUGAGCAACUGGAUAUAUUUUCAAUAUUUGCAUUUUACAGGAAAGGUAACUAGGUAUUAUUCCAAAGCGUAUGGUCUUCCCACAAUGUUUCAUUACUUGAGGAAAAACGCAACUGAAAUUAUGUGCGUAAAGCAUUACCACACAGAUUACAGACUUUUCAUUUUACAACUGAAAGUUUAAUAAUUGGUAAAAUCACCCUGACUCAUUGGAUUUAUUGUUCAACAAUAAAUUAUUGACACAUAUGGUACAGGCUGGAAAGAGGAUAGGAAAUUUACAGAUGACAGAAUCAUACCAGGUCAUCUAGGGACACUUGGGUAGAGCUCUACAUUCUUGAGGCUGAUGGCAUGAUAAAUUAUCCAUAGAAUCUCCCUGGAAACCAAUGUUUGACAGAAGGAGAUGGAGAACAGACUUUCCUGUGAUGAGAUAGGCAAACACCGUUUUGCUCUGGCUUCUUCAUUUCAACUGUUUCAAAUAGAAACUUGAAAAAGUAAUUACAAAGAUACUUCUAAGAGCUGUGUUUUGGACAGUCAGCAUAUAUUAUACCUUUCCAAUUAGUUUUCCAUACUGUAAAGAUUAACAGGCUCCAAGAAAGGUAUUUAAUUCCUUCAAGCUUUCUUUUUAUAUUGUUUCAUAUGUCCCUGCAAUGUAAGUUGAUGUUGUUGAGAGAAGAUGUAAUUCUUUUCCAUUCUUCUUAUUGGAAACAUUACACUGAACUUACAGAAUCAAUCUUCUAUCUGGUGUUCUUUAUCUAGACCAGCGGUUCUCAACCUGUGGGUCACGACCCCUUUGGUG